GGGCCCGUGGCCUAGCCAGGAUCAAAGGCACCGAACAACUCUGAGCAAGGGGUAGCGUGCAGGCCUCCGGAGCCGGAGAUCCCGGGUUCAAAUCCCGGCGGGCCCGCCA
rnacentral:tRNA from 1 species